AGCAGCCGCGGUAAUUCCAGCUCCAAUAGCGUAUAUUAAAGUUGUUGCAGUUAAAAAGCUCGUAGUUGAAUUUCGGGGUUAGUAGGUUGGUCAUGCCUCUGGUAUGUACUGGUCUCACUGAUUCCUCCUUCCUGAUGAACCUUAAUGCCAUUUAUUUGGUGUUUUGGGGAAUUUGGACUGUUGCUUUGAAAAAAUUAGAGUGUUUAAAGCAAGCUAACGCUUGAAUACAUUAGCAUGGAAUAAUGAAAUAGGACGUUCGAUCCUAUUUUGUUGGUUUCUAGGAUUGACGUAAUGAUUAAUAGGGAUAGUUGGGGGCAUUAGUAUUCAAUUGUCAGAGGUGAAAUUCUUGGAUUUAUUGAAGACUAACUACUGCGAAAGCAUUUGCCAAGGAUGUUUUCAUUAAUCAAGAACGAAAGUUAGGGGAUCGAAGACGAUCAGAUACCGUCGUAGUCUUAACCAUAAACUAUGCCGACUAGGGAUCGGAUGAUGUUAAUUUUUUAAUGACUCAUUCGGCGCCUUACG
rnacentral:rRNA from 1 species